rnacentral:rRNA from 1 species
CUGCAAGUCGAGCGGUGAAGGGAGCUUGCUCCUGGAUUCAGCGGCGGACGGGUGAGUAAUGCCUAGGAAUCUGCCUGGUAGUGGGGGAUAACGUCCGGAAACGGGCGCUAAUACCGCAUACGUCCUGAGGGAGAAAGUGGGGGAUCUUCGGACCUCACGCUAUCAGAUGAGCCUAGGUCGGAUUAGCUAGUUGGUGGGGUAAAGGCCUACCAAGGCGACGAUCCGUAACUGGUCUGAGAGGAUGAUCAGUCACACUGGAACUGAGACACGGUCCAGACUCCUACGGGAGGCAGCAGUGGGGAAUAUUGGACAAUGGGCGAAAGCCUGAUCCAGCCAUGCCGCGUGUGUGAAGAAGGUCUUCGGAUUGUAAAGCACUUUAAGUUGGGAGGAAGGGCAGUAAGUUAAUACCUUGCUGUUUUGACGUUACCAACAGAAUAAGCACCGGCUAACUUCGUGCCAGCAGCCGCGGUAAU